AAAUAAAUCAAAACUUUCAACAACGGAUCUCUUGGUUCUGGCAUCGAUGAAGAACGCAGCAAAAUGCGAUAAGUAAUGUGAAUUGCAAAAUUCAGUGAAUCAUCGAAUCUUUGAACGCACAUUGCGCCCGCCAGUAUUCUGGCGGGCAUGCCUGUUC
rnacentral:rRNA from 1 species